UCUAAUCGAAAUGUCUUUUUGAAACCAAAAUAAAAUAAAAAGUUUAUACAACUUUCAGCAACGGAUUCUCUUGGCUCUCGCAUCGAUGAAAGAAACGCAGCGAAAUUGCGAUACGUAAAUGUGAAAUUGCAGAUUUUCAGUGAAUCAUCGAAUCUUUGA
rnacentral:rRNA from 1 species